rnacentral:rRNA from 1 species
UACGUAGGGUGCAAGCGUUGUCCGGAAUUAUUGGGCGUAAAGAGCUCGUAGGCGGUUUGUCGCGUCUGCUGUGAAAACUGGGGGCUCAACCCCCAGCCUGCAGUGGGUACGGGCAGACUAGAGUGCGGUGGGGGAGAUUGGAAUUCCUGGUGUAGCGGUGGAAUGCGCAGAUAUCAGGAGGAACACCGAUGGCGAAGGCAGAUCUCUGGGCCGUAACUGACGCUGAGGAGCGAAAGCAUGGGGAGCGAACAGG